UACAGAGGGUGCGAGCGUUGUUCGGAAUUACUGGGCGUAAAGCGCGCGCAGGCGGCUCUUUAAGUCUACCCGGGAAAUGCCGGAGCUCAACUCCGUGCACGCCGGGGGAUACUGGAGAGCUGGAGACGAGUAGAGGCAAGCGGAAUUCCGGGUGUAGCGGUGGAAUGCGUAGAGAUCCGGAAGAACACCGGAGGCGAAGGCGGCUUGCUGGGCUUGGUCUGACGCUGAGGCGCGAAAGCAUGGGGAGCAAACAGG
rnacentral:rRNA from 1 species